AUUAGGAAGACUGACAGCCACCUCUCUGAAGUGUCAGCCUGACAGGAAUGGAAUCACCUAAGAGACAAACCUCUCCACUUGUCUGUGAGGAUGCUUCCAGAAGAGUUAAACUGAAGAGAGAAGGCGCACCCUGACUCUGGGCAGUACCGUGCCAAGGGCCGAGGACCAUGACUGAAUAAAACGGAUCCGGUUGGUGAGCACGGGGAUUCAGCUCUCUGCUUCUUGCUGGUUCCUGAUUCCUGACAUCCUACUUCCAUCCUUCCCCAACCACCAGCCACUGGCAGCAUCCUCAAGUGCUGGCUCUCCUGUGACUCCAGCUAGCACCGAUGUGAUACCCCAGAGGAGCCUAGCAGCCUCAGGUAAACCCA
rnacentral:lncRNA from 1 species